AAUUUAUAAUUUAUUUAUGUUUUAUUUUAUUUAAUUUUUUUUUAAAAAUAAUUUUAAAGAUUUAAUUUUAAGUAUAUUUUAUAGAAAAAAUAAUAUUUAUUAUAGUAAAUUAGUAUUGUGAAAGAAUAUUGAAAUAUUUUGAAAAUUUAAUUAUUAAAAAGAAAUAUUUAGUUUAUGUACCUUUUGUAUCAGGGUUUAUUAAAUAAUAUUUAUAUAUUUUAAAUUUCUCGAAUUUAAAAGAGUUAAUAAAUUAUUAAAGUUAAUGUAGUAUAAUUAUUUUAAAUAGUUUAUUAGUAAUGAAAUGUUAUUCGUUUUUAAAUAUAUCUAGUUUUUUAAGAAAUAAAUUUAAUUUAUUUAUUUUUAAUAUAAUAUUUUAUAUGUUAAGUAUAUUAUUUAUUAAUAAAAAUAUAUUAAGGGAUAAGCUUUAAUUUAUUGUUUAUAAUAAGUUUAAAUAAUUUUUAAUUAUAGGUUUAGAAAUAGCCAUUAAUAAUAAGUUUGUUUUAAUUUAUAAAUAAAUUAUUUAAUUUUUUUUUAUUUAAAUUUUAUAUUAAAAUGUUUAAUUUAAUUAAAUAAUUAAUGUAAUAAUGAUAAAAUUAGUAUAAUAUUUUGUUUAUUUUUUAUAUUUAUAAAGAUUAAAUUAAGGAAUUCAGCAAAGAUAAAGAAUACUCACCUGUUUAACAAAAACAUGUCUUUUUGAAAAUAAUUUAAAGUCUAACCUGCCCACUGAAUUUUUUUGAAGGGCCGCGGUAUUUUGACUGUGCAAAGGUAGCAUAAUCAUUAGUCUUUUAAUUGAAGGCUUGUAUGAAUGGUUGGAUGAGGUAUUAACUGUCUCUAUUUAAUAAUUAUUAGAAUUUUAUUUUUGAGUUAAAAAGCUUAAAUAAUAUUGGAGGACGAGAAGACCCUAUAGAUCUUUAUAAUUUUUUUUAAUAAUAAUUUUGUAGAAAAGAUUUGUUUUUAUUAAAAUAAUUAUUUUAUUGGGGUGAUAAAAAAAUUUAAUUAACUUUUUUUUAUAUAAACAAUUAUAUUUGAAUAUUUGAUCCAUUAUUAAUGAUUAAAAGAUUAAGUUACCUUAGGGAUAACAGCGUAAUUUUUUUGGAAAGUUCAUAUUUAUAAAAAAGAUUGCGACCUCGAUGUUGAAUUAAAGGUAAAUUUUAGGUGCAGAAGUUUAAAAUUUGGGUCUGUUCGACCCUUAAAUCUUUACAUGAUUUGAGUUCAAACCGGUGUAAGCCAGGUUGGUUUCUAUCCUCAAUUAUAUAAAAUAUUUUAGUACGAAAGGACCAAAUAUUUAAAUUAGUUUUUAUUAUAUUGAAUAAAAUUAAU
rnacentral:rRNA from 1 species